AGCUCUUCAGUCAAUGCUAGAAAUGGACGUUUAGUUAUAGAAUCCCGCUAACGAGGGGAGCCAACAAGAGAGGGAUGUCGGCAUCGGGUGUGCGGUUCCAAGAACUGAUUGGCUGUGGAGAUUAGAAGAACCUUUGUAACGGAAAGCGGCCCCGGGCAGGCGCCUUUUGAGCAGAAGAGUAAAACCGGUAAGUCAGCAGUGGAACUCGCCUCCCCGGAAAUCCUUGGAGGGGGCGGGGCCCUGGGGAGGCGCAUGCGUACUUGCGUCAUCGUUGGGUAGCAGCGGGGAGGCGUGGGAGGAUCUGAGGCCUGCGGUGUGCCUUGGUCCCUUCUGUCCCCGCCCUGAAGCCUCCUGCUCAACCUGAGGGCCACCGGCCUCUAUCCGUCGGUGCCGAUGCUCCUUGCUUCCCAGCCAGAGCGUCUCAUCUCUGGGCCCGGAGCCCCAGGCUCGUUCUCCUCAGCUCCUGCCGGCGGCGGCGCUCUUGCCGCCAUUCCUGUGAGGUCGUUUUUCGGAGCAGCCGGGCCGGCCGAGGAGUAAGUAGGCGCCAGAGUUCUAGCUCGGGCAUCUGCCUCGGGGCCCUGUCGCCGCCGCGCCCCGGAUCCUGCGUUGGUCCUGUCCGAUAAAGCGGAGGUCGGCCCUGCUUGCUGACGAGACCGUAAAAACCACGGCGCUUGGCGGCCUGCCGCCGCCACACCUCACCAAAGUGUACCGGCCUGAGGCUGGCUUCCGGCGCGAACUUGCAUUUGUGACUUUCUCUUACCGUCUUUGUUUGCUUCGUUUUAAGUAUUACUUCCAGAUAAGGGACACAUUCUCGAAAUACUUUGAAAACAGUUUUGAAUUUUGUUCCUCCCGUUGAAACGGAUUAAAUUUGGACCUUUCAAGCUACACUGUGCAAUCAUCAAUCUCAAUAAGCUCUUAAUAGGCUCAUUCUUCCGUAGGCUACAAACAAAAUAAAGAUCAUAACAUCCUGCGGAGGAAGCCAUUGGUCCAUGUAGAGUCGCCAGAUGUCAAUUAAGAGUAGAUCGCUUUUCAGAGAAUACUUAACGACUCUGGUUUAGACCUGGACUUGGAACUUUGAGGUGUUUGGAACACUGGGCAGAAUUUUCCUUUGUUACAAAACAAAGUUUAUGAGAACGCAAUUUGUUUUUGUUGUUUUUGUUGUUAGUAUUGAAGCAAUUUUGGUGCAAACCAAAGGAUAACAAAGCAAAACAAUGAAAAUCACCCAGAGUUCCAUUACCCCCACUGAACCAACUUGAAUAUAUUGGUUUAUUUUGGCUUUUUUCCAUAUGAAAUGUUAAAUUUUCUUGUACUCACGUGUAGAAUAUGAUAGUUUGCUCUUUCAUGUAACAUGUCUCCCAAUUUUUACAUACAUAAUUCUAGUUUCAGUAAGCAUUUUUAUAACUACACUCUUUUUCCUUUGUUAUUGUAUGUCUAGGUUAUUUCAACUUUGCACUGUUGCUUGUAACUACUAUGUGAUGAGGCAGUAGCUAGAUUAGUAUUUAGAACGUGAGCAUUCAAGUCAGGCAGACCUGGGCUUCACAACUUACUGUGCAAUGUCAAAGAGUUUAACUUUUUUGAGCCUCAUUUUACACAGUAACAUGGGGAUAAUGGUUCUGAUUGCAUAGAAUUAUUAUGAGAGUAAAAUGAAAUGAGUGAAAGUGCCUGCAGCAUGUAUUGUUAGUAAAUGCUGUAUUACUGUAGGCAAAUUUUCUUUUGUGGUUUUUUGGUGACAUGUAUGAUUUAUUUCCGGAUUUUGAAUAUACUUAAAUACUAUUAACCACAGUAGGGGUAUGGGGUUUGAUCCACAGCUUUUCAUAUAUUUUAUACAAUAUAUUGUGUGUUUGAUACACAGCUUUUCAUAUACUUUAUUAUAAGUAACACAUGAAUUAGAAAUAAUUUUUCACAAUAGGAAAAACUUUUUAAAAAUUAAAAUUUAUGAUCCUGCUAACCAUAGGUGAAUAGUCACAUUUUGGGCAAUCCUUUUUUAUGCAUAUAUAUGUAGUGGUUUUAUUUUAUUUUAUUUUUAUUUUUUGAAACGGAGUCUUGCUCUGUUGCCCAGGCUAGGGUGCAGUGGUGCGACCUCGGCUCACUGCAACCUCCGCCUCACGGGUCCAAGCAAUUCUCCUGCCUCAGCCUCCCGAGUAGCUGGGAUUACAGGCGCCCGCCGCUGCGCCUGCCUAAUUUUUAUAUUUUUAGUAGAGACGGGGUUUCACCAUCUUGGCCAGGCUGGUCUCGAACUCCUGACCUCGUGAUCCACUCUCUUCAGCCUCCCAAAGUGCUGGGAUUACAGGCAUGAGCCACCGUGCUGGGCCUGUAGUGUUUUUUAAAAAUAGAAUUAUAUUAUAAAUUGGGCUUAGUAACUUGCUGAAAAUGGCAGAGGCCAGUGCGAUGAGAGUGGGGUGAUUAAGGGAGUAGGAAGUAAUGCAGGAAAGGGAGUUUGUAGGAUUUAGAUUUCACUGAAAGUGUACUGGACAGGUUGGGCAUAGUGGCUCAGGCCUGUAAUUGUGUCACUUUGGGAGGCUGAAGUGGAAAGAUCCCUUAAGCCCAGGAGUUCGAGCCAGCCUGGGCAACAUAGGGAGACCCUAUCUCUCUAAAAUAAAAAUAAAAAUAAUUAUUUUGAAAAAAAAGUUUACUGGACAGAGUAAGUUCAGGGUUGAGGAGUGACCUGAUUUGUUUUAGAAGGCUCAUUUGACUGCCAUACGGAGAUAGACUGCAAGGGACCAGGGGAGGAAGAUGCAAUCCAAUUAGGAGAGUAUUUAAGUAAUCUCUGUGAGAGAUGGUGUUAGUUUCGAUCAGGGUGUAAGUAGGGAAAAAUGAUUGGGUUCUGGAUAUAUUUUGAAGGGAUAAGUUAUAGGAUUCACUGAUUGAUGGGAUGUGGAAUUCAAGAGAAAGUGACUUAAAGAAUUUUGGUUUGGGCAGUUAAACAGAUACAGUUGGCACUUACCAAGAUAGAGACUGAAAGUGGGGGGAAACUAAAUAGAGUUCUGUUUCAGUCAUGUCACCUGUUGUGGAGUCUAACUAGUUGGAACAGGAGUAUGAAAGACUUAAUCUUCUGUUCUUGAGGUAUCAAUUUGUCCCUUCAUUUCUGUCAGUUUUUGCUACAUAUAUUCUGUUACUAGGUGCAUCUAUCCUUGUAAAUUGUUAAAUCUUCCUUGUGGGUUUAUCCUUUUAUCAUUAAAAAUGUUUCUCUUUUUCUCUAGUAACAUUGUUUUAAAGUCUAUUUUGUCUGAUAUUAAUGUAGCUAUUUCAGUUCUCACGUGAUUACUAUUUACAUGCUUUGUAUCAUUGAAUCUAAAAUGUGUCUCUUGUAGACAUAUAGUUGGAUCUUGGUUUGUUUUUUGUUUGUUUGUUUUUUGUUUUGAGACAGAGUCUCGCCCUGCCUCCUUGGCUGGAGUACAAUGGCGUGAUCUGGGCUCACUGCAACCUCCACCUCCCGGGUUCAGACGAUUCUCCCACCUCAGCCUCCCCAGUAACUGGGAUUACAGGGGCCCGCCACCACGCCCAGCUAAUUUUUGUAUUUUUAGUAGAGACGGGGUUUCACCAUGUUGGCCAGGCUGGUCUCGAACUCCUGACCUUGUGAUCCACCUGCCUCGGCCUUCCAAAGUGCUGGGAUUACAGGCAUGAGCCACUGUGCCUGGCUGGAUCUUGUUUUUUUUAAUCUGAUAAUUUCUGCCUUUUGAUCCAAUUGUUUAAUCAUUCACAUUUAAUGUUAUUGAUAUAGUUGGAUUUAUGUAUGCCAUCUUAUUUUUGUUUUCCUUAUGUCUUGUCUUUUUCUUUUCCUGUCUCUCCUUUACUGCUUUGUUUUGGAUCAAGUGAAUAUCUUCUAAUGUAGCAUUUUAAUUUCUUGAGUGAUUUUUUACACUGUUUUAAGUUUUUUUUAGAGACCGUAGUGGUGCUCUAGGGCUUACCGUACAAUUAGCUUAACUUAUUAGAAUCAGCUUUGGAUUUAUACUAACUCAAUUGCAGUGAGAUAUAGAAACCUUACUCCAAUAUAGUUUUAUUCCAUGUCCCUGUUUUCUUGUGGUUUUGUUGUUGUACAUGUUAUAGUUGUUACAAACUCAACAAUACAUUACUACAAUUAUUACUUUUACAUCAUUUGAAGAAAAUGAACAAAGGAAAGCAAAUAUAUAUUUGUAGCUUUUGUUAUAGUAACCUUAUUUAUCAUUUCAGGUUGUUUGUUUCUUUUUCUUGUGGAUUCAUUACCAUCUGGAGUAAUUUUUUUUCUUUUUCUUUUCUUUUUUUUUUUUUGGAGGGGUAACAGGGUCUUGCUCUGUUGCCCAGGCUGCUGGAGUGCAGUGUCAUGAAUAUAUCUCACUGUAGCGUCAAACUCCUGGACUCAAAGUGAUCCUUCCACCUCAACCUCCUGAGUAGCUGGGACUACAGGCACAUGCCACUAGGCUUGGCUAAUUUUUGUAUUUUCUGCACCUCAGCCUCCUGAGUAACUAUAUUACUCUAUAAGCACACAUCACCACACCCAGCUAAUUUUUAAAUUUUUUAUAGAGACAGAGUCUCACUGUGUUGCUCAGGCUGGUCUCUAACUCCUGGCCUCAAGUGAUCCUCCAGCUCUGGCCUCCCAAAAGUGCUGGGAUUACAGGCAUGAGUUCUUUGUAUGAGUUCCUUGUAUAUUUUGGAUAUUAACCCCUUGUUAGAUAAAAGGUUUUUCAGUAUUUUCUCCCAUUCCGUGGAUUGCCUUUUCAUUUUGUUGUUUCCUUUGCUGUGCAGAAGCUUUUUUGUUUGGUUUAGUUCCAUUUGCUUAUUUUUGCUUUUGUUGCCUGUGCUUUUGGUGUCAUUUACAAAACAAACAAACAAAAUUAUUGCCAAGACUAAUGUCAUGGAGCUUUUCCACAGUUUUCUUCUAGUUUUACAGUUUCAUGUCUUACACUUAAGUCUUUUCACUUUUUUUUUUUUUUUUUUUUUGAGACAGAAUCUCCGUCUGUUGCCCAGGCUGGAGUGCAGUGGUGUAUGAUCUUGACUCACUGCAACCUCCACCUCCUGGGUUCAAGCGAUUCUCCUGCCUCAGCCUCCCGAGUAGGUGGGAUUAUAGGCAUGUGCCACUGUGCCCGGCUUAUUUUUGUAUUUUUAAUAGAAAUGGGGUUUCACCAGGCUGGUCUUGAACUCCUCACCUCAAGUGAUCCACCCGCCUCAGCCUCUCAAAGGACUAGGAUUACAGGCAAGAGCCACUGCGCCUGGCCUCUUUUAACCAUUUUGAAUUGACUUUUGUGGAUGGGGUAAGAUAAGGGUCCAAUUUCAUUUCUUGGCAUGUGGUUAUCUAGCUUUUUCAACACCAUUUAUUAAAGAGACUAUCCUUUCUUUAUUGUGUACUUUUGACACCUUUGUUGAUGAUUAGUUGGCCACAUAAACGUGGAUUUAUUUCUGGGAUUCCUAUUCUGUUCCAUUGGUCUAUAUGUCUCCUUUUAUGCCAGUACCAUACAGUUUUGAUUACUGUAGGUCUGUAAUAUAAUUUGAAAUAAAGAAGUGUGAUGCCACCAGCUUUGUUCUUCUUGCUCAAGAUCGUUUUAGAUAUUCUGGGUCUUUUGGGUUCUGUAUGGAUGUUAGGAAUUUUUUUUUUUUCUGUGAAAAAUGUCAUUGCAGUUUUGCUAGAGAUUGCGUUGAAUCUGUAGACUACUUUGUGUAUUGCAGACAUUUUGACAAUAAUGAUUCUUCUGAUCCUGAACAUGGGAUAGCUUUCCAUUUAUUUGUGUUAUCUCCAGUUCUUUCAUAUAUGUAUUAUAGCUUUUAGCAUACACAUCUUUCCCCUCGUUGGUAAAACUUAUUCCUAAGUAUUUUAUUCCUUUUGAUGCUAUUGUAAAUGGGAUUGCUUUCUUAAUUUCUUUCUUGGAUACUUCACUGUUAGUGAAGUGUAAUUGAUUUUUUUUUUUUUUUUUUGAGACGGAGUCUCACUCUGUCACCCAGGCUGGAGUGCAGUGGCGCAAUCUCGGCUCACUGCAAGCGCCGCCUCCCGGGUUCACGCCAUUCUCCUGCCUCAGCCUCCCGAGUAGUUGGGACUACAGGCGCCCGCCACUACGCCCGGCUAACUUUUUGUAUUUUUUUUUAGUAGAGACGGGAUUUCACCUUGGUCUCGAUCUCCUGACCUCGUGAUCCGCCCGCCUCGGCCUCCCGAAGUGCUGGGAUUACAGGCGUGAGCCACCGCGCCCGGCCGUGUAAUUGAUUUUUGUAUGUUGAUUUUGUAUCCUGAAACUUUACUGGAUUCGUUUCUUCAUUCUAACAGUUUUUAGUGGCGCAUUUAGGGUUUUCUGUAUAUAGGAUCAUGUCACCUGCAGAGACAAUUUUACUUCUUCCUUUCUGAUUUGGAUGCCUUUUAUUUCUUUUCCUUGCCUAAUUUCUGUGGCUAGGAUUUCUAGUACUAUGUUGAAUGUAAGUGAUAAGUGUGGGCAUCCUUGUCUGUCCUUGUCACAUUCAGUUGUAUGUGCAAUACUGGAACCAUCCAGCUCAUAGUCACAUAAUUCCUCUUUGUGCAGCCUUAUGUAAAAUCACACCCCUGUUCACAUUUUUUUCUGUCUGUCUCCCACCUCUCCAGGCCCCUGCCCUGCAACUUUCAGUUACUUCAGACUCUCAGAAGACUAGCCUCUAAAUACCUUAAUUUAUCUGCACUACUGUGAUCUACUUGAAAUUCUCUUCCCUCUUCUGCAGUUUGUAAUGGCAUUCAGGCCAAAAGCUGUAGUAGUUUUAGGGCUGUCUUCAUUUGCUUCUCUGCUCCUAGGGAUCAUAGUGCUGUGCUGUCUGUUGUCCAGCAUCUGACACAGUUGGUUUUAUAUUUUGUCUAGUUUUCUAGUUAUUAAGCAGGUUAAGUCUGGUUCCUGCUAUUCCAUGUAGCAGGAAGCAAAGGUUCUCUCAUGAAUUGUUAGCAUAAUAACAUAAGCGUGGAUUCCAAAAAUUCAUUACACAGAUCCUGGAAAUCUGUUGACUAUGUUUUAUACGUUCUGUGAAAGCUGGAGAAUAUAUAUUUGUUUUACUAUGUGUAUCACAAAUAAAAUAUCAAUUUCAUGUGCCAGAGAAUUGAAUACAGUAUCAAAGGGUCAUUUCAUAGUGUUAUCAUCACCAUCCAUCCUGUAAGUCCUUUGAAAUUUCUUCUUUUCUAUGGAUCUAACAUUUAUCAAUAACGAAUUCCUAAGUGUCUAUAUUAGUUAGCCCAGUGUUUCUCAAAGUCCACCGCAUGUAGAAAUCAUCUAGGGAAUCUUGCUAAAAUGUGGAUUCUGAUUUAGUAGGUCUGGGGUGAGGUCUUCCCUUUUGCAAUUCCAGCAAGUUCCCAUGGGGUGCUGGUACUGGUUAAUGGAAGUCACUUAGAGUAGCAAGGAGCCUGUUUGCCUAGUAUUUACAAUGAGCACAUGUUUUGGGUAUCAUCAAAACAAGAGAAUCUAAAAAUGUAUGGUGUGGGUGGAAGGUUGUGUUAUUUGAUAUUUCAAAAAGAUCAUUGAAAUCAGAAAAUCUCAGAUAUGUUGGAUUUCAUCACAUUUAUUCUAUGGCUUAAUGUUGUUUUAUUUUGAAUAUAUAAUAAGAGAGAUACCACAAAUCUUUAGCUAUUAAUAUUUAGGGAUGUUAAUGUCCUUAAUUCAUAUUGUCUUAAAUGUGAUUCAUUCCCUCUAUAGGUAUACUAAAAUAGGCAUUCAUGCCUACAAAACCAUCUUCCUAACUUUCUUUCCUCUUUUUAGUCUCUUCCUGAACCAGUGACAGUGGUUCUCAAACAUUUUGGUCUGAGGACCCCUUUAUGGCCUUAAAAAUGAUUGAAGAGCUUUUAUUUAUGAAGAUAAUACCUGCUAAUACUUGUUGUAAUCUAUUAACAUUGAGAAAUGUAAAAAUUUUUAUUAAUUCACUUAAAAUAUCAAUAAUAAACCCAUUAUUUGCUAAUAUAAAUUGCACUUUUUAAUGAAAAAUAACUUUAGUUUCUACUGUGUGCUUCUGCAUUUUGAAAAUAUGUCUAGGAUACGGUAUGUAUUUAGGAGAUAUUUUCUAAAUAAAUGCAUAUUCAUUUUUUAAAAUGGGACAAAUGUAGCAUAGACAUAUUUUUGCUAACAAUAUCCAUAUAGUUGCAAAUUUCACUUUUAGAAUUUGCUUUCAAAAACAGGUUGUUUAUUCUUCUUUGUUAUGCCUUAAUUAGUAAAUCAUAUAUUAUAAAACUUCUUCAAUGCAAUUGGUCUUUGGUCAGCCAUUGACAUAGGAAGAAUUAGAAGGAGUCCAGGGCUCCUUGGUACUGGCUGUGACUGGAUAAGUAGGUUGCGGCUUAGUUUGUGUUUAGGUGUCAUAACUAGGCUAGGUUUGGGCCCCAGAAAGUGCUAGCCUUACUGUAGGAGAGGAAGUGGUAUUGCUGGGUGUGUCCUCAGGUCAGGAAGUGGGACGAGUGCAGUAUUGAAGCCCAGGGGGGUCCUUGUGACUGGAGGAAAGGUGAGGUUUCCAGUAAAGGAUUCAGAAUUCGGGCAUGGUGCGGCAUGCCUAUAGUCCCAGCUACUCAGGAGGCUGAAGUGGGAGGAUCACUUGAGACCAGGAGUUCAAGGUUGCAGUGAGCUGUUGUUGCGCCACUGCACCCCAGCCUGGGUGACAGAGUGAGACCUGUCUCAAAAAUAAAUACAUAAAAAUAAUAAUUUUUAAAAAAGGAUUCAGAAUUCUAGAAUACAUAUUAUCUUUCUAUCAUGCAGAUCUGUUCUUAGGAUUGUAUUUUCCAAAUCAUGAAUAAAAUAAUUUCCAAAAUACUUAUUGGGAAAUUAUAUAUAUGUACUGUAUUACUUGGAAUAAAAAUCAAAUAAAAGUCAAACUUCUUAAUGUGGCCUGUAAAGCCUUGAUAAUUUAAACCUUGCCUAUUUUUCAGUUUAAUCUUUCAGCCACACUGGCCCUCGUGUUAAUCCUAAAACAUGCCAUGCUUUUUCCUACAUUAAAGCUUAGGGUUUUUGAUAUUUCUGCUGCCUGAAUUUCUCUGUUCUCACUCUUCCUCUUGAUCACCAUGACUUAUUUUUCAAGUGUUGGCUUAAAUGUCCGUCUCACAGAUAGCCCUUAUCUAAAUAACAGCUUUCCCUCUAGUUCCUAGAUAAAUUAGGACCUGUUUUUUCUAUAACUUUCUUAAAGUAUCCUAUUAUUUUCCCUGAUAAAACCUUGUUGGACUGUUUGUCAGUAUAUUUAUUUGCCUGUUUAUUUGGUGUCAGUUUCUCUUUUUUUCCUGUGUGUUUGUUUGUUUGUUUUUUUGAGACACAGUUUCACUCUGUCACCAGGCUGGAGUGCAAUGGUGCAAUCUCGGCUCACCACAACCUCCACCUCCCAGGUUCAAGCAAUUCUUCUGCCUCAGCCUCCCGAGUAGCUGGGAUUACAGGCAUGUGCCACCAUCCUGGCUAAUUUUGUAUUUUUAGUAGAGACAGGGUUUUUCCAUGUUGGUCAGGCUGGUCGCAAACUCCCGACCUCAGGUGAUCCGCCUGUCUCGGCCUCCCAAGGUGCUGAGAUUACAGGCGUGAACCACUGCACCCGACCCGUUUGUUUGUUUUCUUAUUAGACUAUAAACUAUAUGAGAUCAGACCAUGUCUCUUUUGUUUAUCACUCUGGCCUACCUGCUAACACAGUGCUUACACAUAAUAGUAGGUGCUCAAGAAAUACAGUGUUUGAUGGAUGAACGUAAAAUUGUAAGAGCCUGAACUAGUGUAAUAUCGAAAAUAGGGAGGAAGACAUGAAUUAGGAAAGCCUUUGAAAAAUUAGCAUGUUCUGUGAUGAAGCUACAUCUAGGCAAUAUUUUUUGAUACUUUUUAAAAAAAACUGUAAUAGCUACCCAAUAUUUAGGAAUGAUAUACAUCACACAUCUCAGUGAGGUAUGUAGCCUUUUGUACUGGUGAAGAGAGCCAGGUGAAGUCCAAUUCUAAGGAUCUAAACACUCCAUUCUAGUAGAGAGCCUGGAGAAGUGCUCUUGCAUAAGCUCAUCCAUGUAAGACCAUCCAUAACUUAGUGAAAUAAUUUUCAUUGCUGUUUAGCUGCAAAAAUCACUCACUGUUGUGCCUUCAUAAGAUUAUCGGUUUUAGUGUUUAAUCAUUCACAGCCUUGUCAAAACUGAAAUGGCUAGGGAGAGAACUAUUUCCCUACAUUAAAACUUCGAGCAGUGCUCUUCAUAGAUUUUGUUUUGAAUUGUUUAGGCCCAUCUCAGAGUUCAAGACACUUAGUCUCUCCUAAGAGAAAUCAUGGUCACAACAAACAGAGAUUAAAUAAAGAGCAAGAAAUUAGAAGAAACUCAAACCAUUCACUUAGAUCAUUUGUUAGAUUUUGGCCUUAAAAAGAGACAAAGUUGCUUGAAACAAGUGAUUAAACUGAGAUUUUUAGAUUAUUAUUUUAUUCAUACCUUUAUUGUGAAUAAAUUGGCCACAUGAUAACAUUUUAUAAUGUUAAAUAAAUAUGAUAUAUACAAAUCUGUAUACCACAAUUAAAUUGGAGGGUGAUUUGUCAUUUAAAUAAUUUAUCAUAGGAUUUUUAUAAGAUCAAGCGCUUAGUGCAUAUCAAAGAGACAGAAAGUUUUCAUUUCAGUUCUGCACGUUCACUGAGUACCUCUUAUGUACCAGUUGCAUUGUUCUAGAAUCUUAUCUAUCAUGUAAAGCUAGGUACACCUGAAAUAGUUUAGUUAUGGUGGCAAAGUUAGACUGCAGUUAUUGGCUGGGAAUUUUUUGUAUAUCUUCCAUAAGAGGGCAGCAAAGGACCAGCAUGAUUUUUUCCUUAUCAUGAAGUCAUAGCAGAGAUUGCCUCAUAUUGCAAACUUAAUAGAAAUCUUCUCAGAGUAAGGGCAAACAGAAGGCAUGGUUACAAGUUUGCUUACUGUCUAGCCUGUCUUUUAUAUGGUCUGAUACGGCUUUUUAGUACAUAGAUUAUCUCACAUCACAGUGAUAGCCUAGUGAUUAAAUGUUGAUCCUGGGGUCAGUUGUCAGGCUUUAAAUCCUGGAACCAUAACUUAACUAGCUUCGUGGUCUAGAAAGACUACUCAGUCUUUCUGAGCCUGUUUCUUCCUCAAUUUUUUAAAAAAAGGAGGGCAAGGGAUAGUAACAAUGCCACUUCACAUGGUUUUAAUAAACAAAAUGAAAUUUGUGUCCCGAAGAGGCUAAGAACAGUUAAAAGGUGGAGCUAGAAAAACCACCCUAUACUAGCCUUAGGUGCAUUGUAUUUAUUUAAGUUAAACUCUUAUUAAAAAGAGUCUCAUAAAGGAAAAUAUAGGUCAUUACUUUCUGUAACUACUUAGUAUUUUUAGUUAACUAACAUAUAUAUCUAUGUACUGACCAAUUAUUUGCUCAUACAAUUUAUCAAACCAAUUAAAUAUACACUGUUAAAUUUAUUUCCCUGUCCCCCGAGACAGAGCCUGGCUACGUUGCCCAGGCUGGAGUGCAGUGGCACGAUUUUGGCUCAUGCAACCUCUGCCUGCCAGGUUCAGGCAAUUCUCCUGCCUCAGCCUCCCAAGUAGCUAGGAUUACAGGCAUGGGCCACCAUGCCCGGCUAAUUUUUUGUAUUUUUAGUAGAGAUGGGAUUUCACCAUGUUCGCCAGGCUGGUCUCAAACUCCUGACCUUGUGAUCUGCCUCCGUGGCCUCCCAAAGUAAGUGCUGAGAUUACGGGCGUGAGCCACCACGUCCGGCCAAAAAUUUUUUAAUUUUAAAAGUCAAUGUAUAUCAUUUGUAUUUUAUAGUUAGUGCUUUUUUUGUAUUGUUUAAAUUUUUAAAAUUUUUCCAUUAGUCUAAAAUAUUUUCAUGUGUGCUUUCUACUAAGACAAUUUAAGUUUUGUUUUUGACAUUAUAGUUUUUAAUACAUUUGGAUUUGGAUCUUAUAUCUUGUAUGAUACAGAACUCUAAUUUUCUCCUUUAACUACAUGCAUAAUCAUUUUUUCCACCUCCACUUAUUGAAUAGUUCCUAAUUUUCCCAUCAAUAUCAUGUGUUUCUUCUGGCAUAGCCAAAGUCCCAUAAAUGUGUGGGUCUGUUGUAGUUUCCUAUUUAAUUCAGUUAAUUUGUCCAAUUUGUUUUAUUAUGCCUUAAUUACCACAGCUUCACAGUAAGUCUUUAUGUCUGAUAGGGCAACUUCCUCUAGUGUCUUCGGAAAUUUCCUGACUUUAAAAAAAAUCCUUAUUGUUCAUGCUUUUUUAAAAAAUUAGCUUUACAUGAUGCAUGAAAAAGAUCUGUUGGAAUUUUGAUUGUAAUUAUGUUAAAUCUAUAGGUCAACUAAUUACAAUAUUGAAUCUUCUUAUGCACAAACGUGGUAUAUUUCUCCAUUUAUUCAGGUCUUUAUUUAAUGUCUCCUAAUGUCUUUUUGUAGUUUUUACUUAGAGAUCUUGCAUAUUUGUUAUUAUAUUUACUCCUAGGUACUUGGUAUUCUCUAAGAUUAUUGAAAAUGCUGUCUUCUUUUUAAUUACAUUUUCAGGUAUUUGUCAUUGGUAUAAAGAAAUGUAUUUGACAAUAAUCUUAUAGUCACCUUAAAUUCUCUUAUUUCUAAUAAAUUGUACUUUUUUUGGUUUUCUACAAAAAUGAUCAUAUCUACAAAUAAAGUUAGUUUUGUUUAUU